UUUAGGGAGACCUUCUGCAUUCCCACCGCAACCCAAACAUUAAGCGGGGGAAUCAGAUAUCCUAAGGUCGUUACGAGACUAGACAAUUUCUGGCUUUUAAACUCUUUGUUCGGUUCAGUCACCUAAAACACAGCAACUUAUCUGAAGUCAUCCGUGACCAGAAAGACUGCUGGAUUUUAGCCAGCAAUGAACCUUGAAAACUGCAUAAAGAAAAGAAUCAAAGGGAAAAUCUUUUAAAUCCGAUGUGAUUUAGGAAGGCAUCCAAAAAAGAAGCCCAAAUUGUGGUCAAGCUACAAAGGGCUGACGGUGGAUACCUAGCCCCCACAGAGAUUUGUGUAACUCAUCUAACUACCCAAUCUUUCAAAACAGAACUAAAGCACAGCAACUUAUCUUGAGUAUUCUAUUCAGAAACUUCCAAGAAAGACUGCUGGAUUUUAGCCAGCAAUGAACCUUGAAAACUGCAUAAAGAAAAGAAUCAAAGGGAAAACCUUUUAAAUCUGAUGUGAUUUAGAAGGCAUCCAAAAAAGAAGCCCAAAUUGUGGUCAAGCUACAAAGGGCUGACGGUGGAUA
rnacentral:misc_RNA from 1 species